UGGGGAAUAUUGCGCAAUGGGGGGAACCCUGACGCAGCAACGCCGCGUGGAGGAAGAAGGUCUUCGGAUUGUAAACUCCUGUCUUCUGGGAAGAUAAUGACGGUACCAGAGGAGGAAGCCACGGCUAACUACGUGCCAGCAGCCGCGGUAAUACGUAGGUGGCGAGCGUUGUCCGGAAUUACUGGGCGUAAAGGGCGCGUAGGCGGCUUUUUAAGUUAGAUGUGAAAACCCGGGGCUUAACUUCGGACGUGCAUUUAAAACUGGAGAGCUUGAGUGCAGGAGAGGUAAGUGGAAUUCCUAGUGUAGCGGUGAAAUGCGUAGAUAUUAGGAGGAACACCAGUGGCGAAGGCGACUUACUGGACUGUAACUGACGCUGAGGCGCGAAAGCGUGGGGAGCAAACAG
rnacentral:rRNA from 1 species